rnacentral:lncRNA from 1 species
UCGUUCUGAGUUCUCAAGUGACCAGUCAAUCUCAGCCGUCUAUUGAGCUUAAUCCAACGGGUGGGUUUCAAUCUCAUUAAGAUAUUAAAGGGUCGUUUGGUAUUAUUACAGGUCAAAGACCAAUGGAGUCAUUCUACCAGUCGUCAGAUUCGCUGGAGAUUUCGCCGCGGCGAAGGCUAACUACACCAACGACCACCAAAAUAACACCCUAGAUUCGCUUUUUUCUUCCUCAUUCCAAGUAUCAAAUUGGCUUCCCUCGAAUCUUUACACAUCUCGUCGAAUCUUCAUCAGAAGAUUUUCCGGCCAAGUCGUCGAUUAUGCCAAAUGACCCCAAAAUUACACCCUAGCACCACCCAGACCUACUUUACCCAAUCCCCAUAGCUGCUUGGCUCGAAUAUGACCAGAACUGAUCGAAUUUGAAUUCAAAGGUUUUCCGGCCAAACCCUAAUUUUUAAAAUCUUCACAAUUUCGGACCCUAACACCCCUAAUCAGGUGUUUUCGUAUGAAAACAUAUGAUUGUGGAUGUAACGGGUCAUAAAUUUUGGGUGAUUUGGGCUCAGCUACCGGCCGGAGUUCUUGGAGCCAUCAGUGAGUUUUCUUCCUUUAUCUCUUUCUUUUAUUAUUUCGUUUUCUUCACCUCUGUGUAUUUGCAUGUAUGAGUUUUGGUUUGUUUCGAUUCCGGUGGGUUUGAAGUUUUGGGGUAAACUGGCAGAUUAGUUUGGUUCCAUUAUUUGUUUGGAUUGAUUUUGAUUUUUUGUUAAUUAGAUUAUAUGUGUUUUAGUUGGUUUAAUUUUUGUUAAUGGCUUGGGUCAGCUAUGCAUAGUUAAGUUCAUUAGAUAGUGGGGAUUGGUUUUAACUAUGUAAAAACAGCUGAGUAAAUCUGAAGGGGGGAGGGUUUCAAGAGUAUUAUGGGUAAUUGGUGGUAUGGAAGGGUUAGAGAUAAUACUAGAAUCUUCUAAAUGGGGACCUAUAGGUAGUUUCAGAAUAUAGUGAUAGUUACUUGUUUAGCAAGGCAAUAAGUUGGGGGUAAAAAAUAAUAAUAAAGAGGGUCCUAAGGGGUAAUUUUGAAAAUUUGGUUCAGCUAUACAUACAAGAUGCAUUGCCUUAUGAAGGGGUCUUGGAAUUUUCAGCCUAAAAACUUCAUAUUGAGAUUUUUCCUUUCAUUUUCUUCAAUCUAAGAGUUAGCUUUUGAUUUCAAAAAUAAAAAAAAAAUCCAAAAAAAAAACAAUAGAAAAAUAUCCAGAAAACUUAAAAUUUCAGAAGAUACUGUUUUAUCGAAAGUUUCCAGUUAAUUUUUAAUUUCCAUUUCUGAAUUGCACCAUCUAGUCCAUAAUCUGCUUGUUGAUAUACUCAUGAGUAUCUGGGUUUAUUCUGAGUGGGUUUUGGGUCCAAUUGGAUCUUUUUUGGACCGGUUUUGUUGGUUGUUGGUUCAGAAGUUGAUCCAGGACUAUUCUAAUUCUAUUUGGGUUUAGAGUAUUUGGUUCAUUGUUAGGGUCGUUCAUUUCUGAAAACACCCCUGGGUUGUUCUUUCUGUCUUGAGCUGUGGUUAAUCAUCAAACUGCUGCUGCUGACUCUCGUUUUCUCUUGUUAUUUCACAGUCCAGAUAGACAUCUCCAAAACUCUGUGAUGUGGCUGCAUAGUAAAUGAGAUUAACAUGUUUAAAAUCCACAUAUGUUGAGUAUUGGUAGCUGAUUAAGUGUUAGUUCAUGUGUAUAUAGUUUUAUAUAUUUGAGAUGUGAUGUAAUUCCUUCAUGAUUUGAUAUACAGUCGUUCCAUGAUCUUCACUGAAGUGUUUUUUUACUGUUUCAUUAGUCAUUUGCAUUGUAUUUGAUCCCAUGAUAUGUGUAGAUGAGUUUAUUAUGUAGUAUGUUUAUGGUUGUUAAUUAGUUUUGCUCUUGGUUUAAAACUGGUUUUGGAGGCCACAAGCCUUAUUCCUUGUUAAUAAGUAGACAGUAGUAUGAUGCUACAGUGAAUCAGGGACUGCGUAGAUUGUUAAAAUUGGAAAUUCGAAUUUGUAUUUUAGUUUUAGUUAGUUAUUAGCUUUAACCAGUUAUUAUAUUAUCUCUAUGUAAUCUUCUCUUUCAAAUUAGGAGAAAAACUGAAACAGGAUAUGAAGUUGCAGUAGCUCAUUUUUAGAAUUGAUAAUUGCUUAAAUGUGUCAUUUAGUAAUUGAAAUAGGCACUUGUUAAUUAUGUUGG